UACAGAGGGCCCGAGCGUUGUUCGGAUUCAUUGGGCGUAAAGGGCGCGUAGGUGGCGAGGUAAGUCUGGUGUGAAAUCUCGGGGCUCAACCUCGAAAUUGCAUUGGAUACUGCGUUGCUUGAGGCUUGUAGAGGAGAGUGGAAUUCACGGUGUAGCAGUGAAAUGCGUAGAUAUCGUGAGGAAGACCAGUUGCGAAGGCGACUCUCUGGGCAAUUCCUGACACUGAGGCACGAAGGCUAGGGGAGCAAACGGG
rnacentral:rRNA from 1 species